AAAAAUCAGGGACACUUGGAUGUUGAAUUGAAUGACAUUGGGAGACUGCAAGCAGUGGCAGCAAGUUGCCUACAAGCAUUCUUACCGAAGUUGUAGCUUGCAGCAUACUAAUAAUAAUUGUCAGUUUUAUUCUUUACAGGUUUUUACUUUUCGAUCCUUACCCAUUUAGACUUACUUACCUAAUGGCAAUAUUGACUUAACAGCCUUCAGUAACAAUCAAAAUCUGAAAGAAACAUGGGCUAGCCAGGUCCAUGAUAUGCUUGAGAGUGCGAAGAAGGAUGAGAAUGCAGAAUUUCGUGUGAAGGAGGUUCAGUACAUCCAGGCAGAAGUAUGUUCUUUUUUUAUACCCUCCUAUAAAAUAAAUAAUUUGUUUGUAUAAGGUUUUUCUUAAAAUGUUUGUAUUAUAUUGAAAUACAAAACUAGAUUAUCAUGUUUAACUUAAUAUUCAUCUUAAGUACCGUAUAAUUGUUUUUAAACUAAUUAUGAUAAGGAAUAUUAAAUGUUUAAAAUAAUUAGUACUUCUAACUUAAAAACUGAGUAGAGAACAAGUACUAUGUCAUGUAGUCUCAGGUUAGUCUUACAAAAGAAAAAGCAAAAGGAAACAAAGAAGAAAAGACGAAAGGAAAAGAAGGAGUAAAUAUUAGGCCUAUAAUUGAUGAUAAAAUUCAUGAAAUAUCUAAGGGUGGGAGAAUAAAUUUGGCAAAUGUGUUGAAAACUUAUGACUCAUAAUAUGGAAGCCGCUGAAAAAGGCUAGUGUGGAGCGUAGCGAAGCGACACACUAGCCUUUUUCAGCGGUUGACCCGAAGGUCGCGGGGGGGUGCGGGGGGCGAAGCCCCCCUUGGUACGGUACAAGUUGUUUAUUAAUGAGGGACAUUAUGGGUAAUUGAGACAUAAUGUGAAGUAGGGUUGGAAUAAGAUUAGUAGUUAUAAAUACUAUCUAUUGUAAAGCCCUAGGCAUCUAAGGAAUCAUCAAUAAACAACCAGCCGCCUGUGGAGUACCCAAAUUAGGGAACCACGUAAAUAUCUUGUGUUUUUUCUUAAUUCUCUAUCGUUUGUGUGCGUGUGUGAUUUAUAUUCUAACAAAAUGCAAAUUGUAAACUUAAAAUUUGUGAUUUUGGCUUGGCGAGAGUUGCAUUCAAUGAUACAUCUACUACUAUAUUUUGGACGGUAUGUGAUCUAGAACCAUGAUACAUGAAUUUUCAACUUUCACUCGUUCACUUUUAUACAUAUGUUUUUAAAUUAUACUGUAUGGACUAUAUGAGUCAUUAUUAACUUUUACACUGAUAUUUUAUAGGAUUAUGUUGCUACAAGAUGGUAUAGAG
rnacentral:lncRNA from 1 species